UACCGCAUCUCCACUUCCAUCCC
rnacentral:siRNA from 1 species